GGAGAUGCUGCUGCAGGCAGGAAUGCUCACUGAUGCCUCUGUGAGCUCAAGCCCUGAAUCCUGGUGGCUGUGGACCAGGAUUGCCACAGGUCAGAGGAAGGCCAGUGCCCCCAUCACUUUGCAACGUUGAAAAAAAUGACAACGGAAAAAGUCAAGUUCUCCACUUUUGAAAAACUCCAGGGGUGCGAUUGCGCAAGCAGAGGUGUGGCCUGAGAUGGAUGACAUUGGCCCACUGACAGAUAACCCUGAAGAAACUACACAGCAGAAAAAGAAAGGUUGAGGAAGGGGGCAGAGUGGCAGGAUCUUUCCGACAGAGAAGAAAGCGGGGCCUCCUCCUCCCUCUGCCUGGCGGGUGCAGCACAGUGGUGCUCAGUGUUUGGCUGAUUUGCCUCAGCGGCUCUUCUUCCAGGUCUAAGGUUGCAGUGCAAGGCCCUGUUCACCUGACACUAUUGAAAAGCAGAGCGGGUGUAACAGUGGCUUAUCACGGAGGCACCGGAGGUCUCUGUUUCUGGCUGGGCUCUGCAGCGGACUUGGCAUUCAGAAAGCCCUCGUAGAAAAACUGCCAAAAUACCAGCUUUCUGAAAAACUCCAAGAACAAGAAAGCUAUCUUCAAGAAAUUUCCAGCUUUUCAGAAACAUUCUCUGUAUCCAGGAAGCACUAUAGGCCUAGAUAUCUACUUGUACUAGUGAGAAGAUGGGAAAUAAAAAAUAAAAAUGAAGAAUGAAAAUGUAUCUCCAUUGUAACAACAACAAAAAAAUCCUUCCACAAAUAAAAGAUUGAUAAGCAGGCCCUGAGAUGUCAACAUUUUCAAAAAUAAAGGCUAAGUUUUAGAGUUGUAGUCAGCUGUCUAAAGACUUGAGAAACCAGACAGCUCUGAACAGAAUGGAAUAGGAAAUAAAUCAGAUGAGACCCUGGGUUUCACUAAAAAGAAAUAGCUGAAAAUGUCAACAGGGAGGUAGGAAGCAUCAGGAGGGCUUGGCAGAGCAGGGCUAGGUUGGAGACUUGGCCGUAGGACGUUGGUCUUCUGGAGGACAAAUAACACCUAGUUAGAACCUCAGUACUAGAGAAACAGGACAUUGGGAUAAGCAUUGCAACAGGUCAUUCAGUGAGGAAAAGAGUUCCAUGAGAAUCUAAUAUCCAGAAAAGGAUUUGAAGAGUAAACCUGUGCAGAAACAAGGCUGGCUUCCUGUCUGGGUUGCUGAGUCAUUGAGCUACUGGAUCAUGGCUUCAGUAUUUCUUCUGUAAUGGAAGGAAGGAAGAUUUGGGCUGGAAGUUGGAUGUGAGGAUAAACUCUAGCCUGCAGCAGAAAUCUGAGUUGCCCCAGAGAUAGGGAGUGGAGGGAUAGGGGAAGGUGUAGACAAUGAGUCAGACAGGCCCUCCAGCCAGAUUCUGGAUGCACAGCUUUUGAAAUGGACACUGGAGAAGGUAUUAGUCUUGACACACAUCCACACAUGGAUACUGUCAAUACGUAACUUUAAAUAUGUUGGCCAAAUAUGGCCUGCUUUUAGAAAAUCAUCAUUUAUAUUUCUUUCUCAAAAGUUCAAUUGCCUCAAUCCAAUGUAGAGAAUACUCCCUGUGCUGAAAAACAAAGCAAUAAUAUUGCUCUGAUAGCUUAGAGUUGUCUCAAGAUUAGAUAGCACAGUGUGGAGAAGGACCAGAGCCACACCAUGGAUGACUGAUAGUUUGCAAACCAUUAAUCUGUAAACACUGUUGUAUACUUCUCAGACCUCAGACAGUGAGGCAACAACUGUAAUUGAUACACUGAACAUUAUUCAGUGACUUCAUAUGCAAAUAGAUCCAAGUCUCUUUCCAUUUAAAUGCAGGCCACAUCCCACAACCAGGGCAUUCUCUCUUGAACUACUAGCUCUAUGCAUUCAUCCCCUCAUUUUAGAACCUCCACUGGGUCCGUAAUGUGCCCCAGCAUAUACGACGAAAUUGUUCCUGUCAGUGUUCCUUCCAAGUGUGACUUACGCCACUGGCUCAGUCUCAGUCCCCACUUAAACUUGUCUCUGAAUAUGUCAAACAAACCUGUCCUCUACUUAUGUUCAUGCUACGGGGAAAACAACUGCUCUUGUUUUCUUAGUCCUGGUUUUAUUCUGGGAAAUCUUGUUGGAGCAAAGGUGGUUAAUAUACCAGCCAGUAAGACAAGUGAACUUCUAGAAAUUGGUUUCCUGGGGGCCAGAGAGAUGGCUCAGAGGUUAAGAGCACUUGCUGCUCUUCCAGAGGACCCAGCACCCCAUGGCAGCUAACGACCACCUGUAACUCCAAUCCUAAGAAAUAUGACACCCUCUUAUGGCUUCCAUGGACAUUAGGUAUGCAUGUUAUACACAGACUUACAUGCAGGCAAAACACCCAUG